GGUCCAAUUUCGCAUUCGCGGCCGCAAUCACAGACGAAGCUUCGUGGUGGUCUCAAGUCAGGAGACAGACGACGAAGCUUCGUGUUGGUCUCGAGUCAGGAGACAGACGACGAACGCAACCAUAGCAGCAACAGCAGCAGGAGCCCUUGUCCUCAACAGAAGACGAACCAGCUUUGAAGAAAUUUACGGUAGGGAGAUCACGUAGCAAGAAAUUUCGCAAUUAUAUGUCUACCUGUCUCCAGCCGUCGCAUGCAAGUUUGAUUCACAAGCGUUAUGAGCCCCAUUUUUUGAAAAAGUCAGUCACUUUCCAGUGUCCUAAGAUUGACCAUUCCAUGGCUCGAAGAAUGAAAGAGAGGAAAGGACCUUAACUCAACAAGGUGGAGCAAAAGUAUAAGUCUUUCACCUCCAUUCAAUACAAAUUAUUGGACGUCGCUCGCCCACUACUCUUCAUCUCAGAGUCCAUGUCAGCUGACCAGGCCAAUGUAAGCUCAGAAAUCUUGGAUGCAUGCAGCGACACGUUACGCCUGCUAGGUCACACGUCAAAGGCUAGCGAAAUAGCCUUACGGCUAAACGAUGAGAGAACAUCCCAAGUUCACCGACCUAAGAUUCGAGUCUCUCCUAAAAGAUCCCGAAUUAUUAUUACCAGACUUUUAGAAAAUUGCACCUUUCGCAACAUUGCCAAUUUUUUAUUUUCUCAUCAGAUCAUAUCAGAUAUCAGUUAAAAACGAAAAACUUCGAUUUUUUCUGCUUGCUCUGUCUGUUGGCCUCAGCCAAAAAUAAACGCAAUCACGACGUCGACACUCCACACUUCUCAGUAGCGCUCGGCCCUGCACCAAUCGGAGAACUUUUUAGUCGAUUCAGUGCGCAAUUUUCAAAAAGUCAGAUUUUUCGAAAAUUAAUAAAAAAAUUCCGUUCGAGAGAAUCGAGUUUGCCAAUCUCGAUUCUUUUUGUCCUUGAAAAUCGGAAAAGAAAUAACGGUUCAAUUCAUUCACUUUUUUUUAUUUAUUAUAUUUACUAAAAAUAAAAAAAGUUAAAAUAGAAAA